rnacentral:misc_RNA from 1 species
CGCAUCUUGCGCUCCUUGGUAUUCCGAGGAGCAUGCCUGUUUGAGUGUCAUGGUAUUCUCAAUUCUCUUGGUUUCUGCCAAGAUGAUAUUGGACUUGGAGGCUAUUGCUGGCAUCACCUCUGAAGCCAGCUCCUCUUAAAUGAAUCAGUGUGAACAUUCACUUCAUACUUGGUGUGAUAAUUAUCUACACUAUGUUUGAGUGAUAUAGUUUCAUGCUUCGAAUCGUCGCAAGACACUACUUUGACUUCUGACCUCAAAUCAGGUAGGAUUACCCGCUGAACUUAA